GACAGAGGUGGCGAGCGUUGUUCGGAAUUACUGGGCUUAAAGGGCGCGUAGGCGGUGAUGUAAGUCUGGGGUGGAAUGCUACGGCUUAACCGUAGAACUGCCCUAGAAACUAUAUCACUUGAGUUAGACAGGGGAAGGCGGAAUUUCUGGUGUAGCGGUGAAAUGCGUAGAUAUCAGGAGGAAGGCCUGUGGCGAAGGCGGCCUUCUGGGUCUUAACUGACGCUGAGGCGCGAAAGCGUGGGGAGCAAACAGG
rnacentral:rRNA from 1 species